rnacentral:rRNA from 1 species
GACGAACGCUGGCGGCGUGCUUAACACAUGCAAGUCGAACGGAAAGGCCCUGCUUUUGUGGGGUGCUCGAGUGGCGAACGGGUGAGUAACACGUGAGUAACCUGCCCUUGACUUUGGGAUAACUUCAGGAAACUGGGGCUAAUACCGGAUAGGAGCUCCUGCUGCAUGGUGGGGGUUGGAAAGUUUCGGCGGUUGGGGAUGGACUCGCGGCUUAUCGGCUUGUUGGUGGGGUAGUGGCUUACCAAGGGUUUGACGGGUAGCCGGCCUGGGAGGGUGACCGGCCACCUGGGGACUGAGAUACGGCCCAGACUCCUACGGGAGGCAGCAGUGGAGAAUAUGGCACAAUGGGCGGAAGCCUGAUGCGGCAACGCCGCGUGCGGGAUGACGGCCUUCGGGUUGUAAACCGCUUUCGCCUGUGACGAAGCGUGAGUGACGGUAAUGGGUAAAGAAGCACCGGCUAACUACGUG